AACGAACGCUGGCGGCAUGCCUAACACAUGCAAGUCGAACGAGACCUUCGGGUCUAGUGGCGCACGGGUGCGUAACGCGUGGGAACCUGCCCUUAGGUUCGGAAUAACUCCCCGAAAGGGGUGCUAAUACCGGAUAAUGUCUUCGGACCAAAGAUUUAUCGCCUUUGGAUGGGCCCGCGUUGGAUUAGCUAGUUGGUAGGGUAAAAGCCUACCAAGGCGACGAUCCAUAGCUGGUCUGAGAGGAUGAUCAGCCACACUGGGACUGAGACACGGCCCAGACUACUACGGGAGGCAGCAGUGGGGAAUAUUGGACAAUGGGCUAAAGCCUGAUCCAGCAAUGCCGCGUGAGUGAUGAAGGCCUUAGGGUUGUAAAGCUCUUUUACCCGGGAUGAUAAUGACAGUACCGGGAGAAUAAGCUCCGGCUAACUCCGUG
rnacentral:rRNA from 1 species